rnacentral:tRNA from 1 species
GGCAGGGUGGUGUAGUGGUUAGUGCAUUGGACUUGGACUGUGAAGACCAGAGUUUGAAUCCCUGCUCAGCCA